AGAGUUUGAUCCUGGCUCAGGAUGAACGCCGGCGGUGUGCCUAAUACAUGCAAGUCGUACGCACUGGCCCAACUGAUUGAUGGUGCUUGCACCUGAUUGACGAUGGAUCACCAGUGAGUGGCGGACGGGUGAGUAACACGUAGGUAACCUGCCCCGGAGCGGGGGAUAACAUUUGGAAACAGAUGCUAAUACCGCAUAACAACAAAAGCCACAUGGCUUUUGUUUGAAAGAUGGCUUUGGCUAUCACUCUGGGAUGGACCUGCGGUGCAUUAGCUAGUUGGUAAGGUAACGGCUUACCAAGGCGAUGAUGCAUAGCCGAGUUGAGAGACUGAUCGGCCACAAUGGAACUGAGACACGGUCCAUACUCCUACGGGAGGCAGCAGUAGGGAAUCUUCCACAAUGGGCGCAAGCCUGAUGGAGCAACACCGCGUGAGUGAAGAAGGGUUUCGGCUCGUAAAGCUCUGUUGUUGGAGAAGAACGUGCGUGAGAGUAACUGUUCACGCAGUGACGGUAUCCAACCAGAAAGUCACGGCUAACUACGUGCCAGCAGCCGCGGUAAUACGUAGGUGGCAAGCGUUAUCCGGAUUUAUUGGGCGUAAAGCGAGCGCGGGCGGUUGCUUAGGUCUGAUGUGAAAGCCUUCGGCUUAACCGAAGAAGUGCAUCGGAAACCGGGCGACUUGAGUGCAGAAGAGGACAGUGGAACUCCAUGUGUAGCGGUGGAAUGCGUAGAUAUAUGGAAGAACACCAGUGGCGAAGGCGGCUGUCUGGUCUGCAACUGACGCUGAGGCUCGAAAGCAUGGGUAGCGAACAGGAUUAGAUACCCUGGUAGUCCAUGCCGUAAACGAUGAGUGCUAGGUGUUGGAGGGUUUCCGCCCUUCAGUGCCGGAGCU
rnacentral:rRNA from 1 species